UACGAAGGGAGCUAGCGUUGUUCGGAAUCACUGGGCGUAAAGCGCACGUAGGCGGAUGUGUCAGUCAGGGGUGAAAUCCCGGAGCUCAACUUCGGAACUGCCUUUGAUACAGCACGUCUUGAGUCCGGAAGAGGUGGGUGGAAUUCCUAGUGUAGAGGUGAAAUUCGUAGAUAUUAGGAAGAACACCGGUGGCGAAGGCGGCUAUCUGGACCGACAUUGACGCUGAGGCGCGAAAGCGUGGGGAGCAAACAGG
rnacentral:rRNA from 1 species